UACGUAGGGUGCAGGCGUUAAUCGGAAUUACUGGGCGUAAAGCGUGCGCAGGCGGCUCCUUAAGUCAGAUGUGAAAUCCCCGGGCUUAACCUGGGAACUGCGUUUGAAACUGGGGAGCUAGAGUGUAGAAGAGGGGGGUGGAAUUCCAGGUGUAGCAGUGAAAUGCGUAGAGAUCUGGAGGAACACCGAUGGCGAAGGCAGCCCCCCUGGGCUAACACUGACGCUCAUGCACGAAAGCGUGGG
rnacentral:rRNA from 1 species